rfam:Rhizobium sp. Leaf306 contig_4, whole genome shotgun sequence.
UCCCGGCUUUCCAACAGCCGGGGUUACUGAAGAGGCACACCAUCAUUGCCGGAAGUGCGGUAGGGACCUCCCUCCAAUCCAUGGCAGACAAAGCCGGAUUUUCGUUCUUGGCAGAACGUUGAUCCACUUACCGCGCGUUUGAGCGUGUCAG